rnacentral:rRNA from 1 species
CCUACGGGAGGCAGCAGUGAGGAAUAUUGGUCAAUAGACGAGAGUCUGAACCAGCCAAGUAGCGUGAAGGAUGACUGCCCUAUGGGUUGUAAACUUCUUUUAUCUGGGAAUAAAAUGUUCCACGUGUGGGAUUUUGUAUGUACCAUAUGAAUAAGGAUCGGCUAACUCCGUGCCAGCAGCCGCGGUAAUACGGAGGAUCCGAGCGUUAUCCGGAUUUAUUGGGUUUAAAGGGAGCGUAGGUGGUUUGUUAAGUCAGUUGUGAAAGUUUGCGGCUCAACCGUAAAAUUGCAGUUGAAACUGGCAGUCUUGAGUACAGUAGAGGUGGGCGGAAUUCGUGGUGUAGCGGUGAAAUGCUUAGAUAUCACGAAGAACUCCGAUUGCGAAGGCAGUUCACUGGACUGCAACUGACACUGAGGCUCGAAAGUGUGGGUAUCAAACAGGAUUAGAUACCCCAGUAGUC